AUGAAUAUCGCCCAAUGCAAUAACCUCUCCACCUUCAGCCAUAAUGCAGGCUCAGUCGAUAGGUCAAGUUGGAACACCUCAAAGGUUAGUAAAGUAUUUCCCUGCAUGGCCACCAAGAGAAGCAUAUCGCCACAUGCCACCAGCAAUGCGUCGGAAAGAUGCCAUUUAGCGAUCAUGAUUGACUCAGUAACUGGAAGUUCUUGUAUGCUUAUCUUGGGUGUCAGGUGCACUUUGAAGAGCCUACGAUCAGAAUCCAUGCCAAAGACUUGCCCUUGGAAUACCACGAUUUGCUUGAGUGCUCCAUGA
rnacentral:rRNA from 1 species